GAAAGUCAUGGGUGAGUUUAAAGCAGGGGUGUGAGACAAGCUUUUCACUUGAGAAGAGUGGCUCAGAGGCCGGUGUCAGGACUGUCGGAUGUGGGGAGAACGGUGUGCAGAAGCCCCGUCAGGAAGCUCUGCAGUAAUGUGAGCAAGGUAGCUGUGUGGGGAUGGGGAGAAGUGGAUCCAUCUGAGGGAAGUGUAGCUUGUGGAGGCGUUAGUCCUUGCUGGUUGGCUGCAUAGAGGAGACGAGAAAGGAGGAACCCAGCGUAACGCCCAGGGUUCUCGUAUGUGCUGUCAGUGGGGGACCCAGCAGUGGAGCAGGUUUGGAGAUUGAGGAGGACGGGUUUCCCUGUUGGAUGUGCCCAGCUUGCCAUACGGGAGCCCAGGUGGACACGGCCGUUGUUCCUCUAGAGGUGCAGAUGGAAGGUCGGGACCGCUGUGGGGUGGGCCAUCCGUCACGGUAGGCAGUGAAAUCCCCCUGGAGAGGCGCGGGCCGAGGGGAGAAGCCGCUCCCGGGGCGCCGUGAGGGACGUGGACUCAGAAGGACGGGCAGGGGAGAGAAGCCAGCGAAGACGUGGCCGGGGUAGUAGGAGUCAGAAUAACACCAGGAAAGAGGGCAUGAGUAGCAGGAGCGAUGGGUGACAUGAAGUGCUGUGGAGGAUGUGAGGUGGGGCCGGGGUCCCCGGAAGUUGGCAACGUGAGCCUUCUUGAUGAGAGCAGCGUUCCUGGCCUGGCGGGACAGAAGCCCAGCCGCGUUGGGUUCAGGACAGACUGGAAACGGGGAAAAGGGACAGGUCAUGUAGGAAGCUCUCUCCUGAAGGUAUUUGUCAAGUGAAAAGGCAGGUUGUGAGCUCACAGGGAGAGUCAGUUCUGGGCUGACCGCCGCUAGACUCUGCAGUCACUAAGGAGUAAGGAAAGGAGGACACAGGACAGGCGGUGGCACUCAGGUGGACAGCGGGGCAGCACAUCGGGGCUGCUUAUUUGGUGUGAUGGGAAAUCGUCGUUUUUUAACAUUUUAUUUGCUUGAGAGAGAGGAAGAGAGAGAGAGAGCACCUGUGAGUGGGGGAGGGGUAGAGGGAGAGAGAGAAUCCCGACGUGGGGCUCGAUCCCCCGACACCGAGACACCGAGACCAUGACCUGCACCGAAGGCAAGAGUCGGACGCUCGGCCAACUGAGCCACCCAGGCGCCCUGAUGGGAAAUCAUAAUUUCCUCCUAUGUUUGUGUUUUUUGCCAAGACCAUAUUCUUUAUAAUUGAGGAUUUUUAAAAUGAAAAAUCGCUACUCGAAGACAGUUACGGAGCUUUUGUUCCACUUCUUCAGUGGGUUGGGAGGACUUGAACGUAUGAAAACGCUGAGGGUCAGGGGGGAGCACCGAAGGUACGUGGCAGAGGAGCUGGGUUCAUGGAGCUGGGUUCCCGGGAAGGAGGGAGAGGGAUCCGGGGCACUUGGUGGGGGGAUGAACUUUUGAUGCUCUGAGGGAAGGAGAGAUGGCUGUAGGUGCAAGUGGGGUUUUUGGUGGAGUUUCAGGGGAUGAGAUGAGACGGGUUAUCUGCUUUGAAGGAAGGAAGAGAGGAGGUGGGGUCCGAGGUUGGGAGAAGAGCAGUGUUGGGGGUUCAGAACCCGAGUGUGGACAGACAUCUGCCUGUGGCUGAACCCGCCGGGGCCCCGGGGCCCCGAGGUGGGGGAGAGAGUGCCUGGCACCUGAGCCGUGAAGGAGCUAGGUCUUUUCAAGUCUGAGCCAGCUGUAAGAGUUCUGAAGGGAGGAGGAGAUGCUCACCCUCCCUCCUGGUGGCGAGCUCAGAAGAAGGCGGCUGGCCAUGGGGCGGUGGCCGUUCCCUCGGAAGAGCUGCAUCUCCACGGAGACCGAAGUGAGAGCGUCCUGGCGAGGGGCCUGGUGCUUAACUUUGGAAAGGAUGUUCUGGAGGGCAAGGUGGAGAGAUCUGGAGGGGAGGACAGCAGAGACGGGGAGGGGGGACAGAAAUCGGUCCUGUGGGGACGAGGUUGCAGGAAGAAGCUUCUGACCAUUGGACAGGGACCGAGGGUGUGAGGCCUGGUGACGACCGCAAGGUGGCUGAGUAAUCAGCCCUGCUUGGAUGGGAUUUGUCUUGGGACGCAGCGUAGGCCUGCUCGGGCUGCGUUCUGAGAUCCUGUGUGAUGGACGGGCACCCACACCUUGGCCUUGGACGAGUUGGGCUAUUUGAGGCCUGCCAUGGGUCCCAGACUGGUAGUGGCAUGCUGCCGGGUGCACUGUCUGCUGGGGCUGUCCUCUGAAGUCCCCCCUCUCCCCACUGGCCCGAUCCCAUACCCUUUCCCUUCUCUGCCUUAUGAUGGUGGUUGUCUCAUAGACACGUGUGCUUGGUCACAGCCUGUGACACCCGAGGGUGCGGGAUAAGCCCACCUGGACUAACCCGCCCCUGUUUCCGGGAAGAGGCCUGCUGGACCUUGAGUCUCCCUCUCCAGCCCGUGGCCCGUGCAGACACGAGGCACGCCGUCCCUCACUGCGGUUUUGGGUCCUCUCUCUCUCUCUUCUCUUUCAGGCUCUCAUUCUUUGUCACCACCUGUCCUUCCGGACCCACCUCUUUCCCGGCCCUUCCUGCCACCAGUGAAACAGUCUCCACGGCCCGCGCCUUUAUAGACGGAGAACCUUGCUCUGUCCCCUGUUCUUUUCUUGCUGCUGGCUGGUUUUUCUGCUCCCUUCAGAGCAGAAUGUGAAGGAGCAGUCUGCACUCCCUCAUCUCCUCGCUUGGAGCUUGCUCUGGUCCAGAUUUCAUCCCGAGCACUCCCCUGGGAAUGUUCUUUUUGGGGACACCAAGGACCUCUGUUGUCAAGUCCCAGCGGACCCUUCACCGCCCUGCUGCACCCCCGGGCACCCUCCGUAGUGAACUGCUUCUUGAAACCCUUUCCUCUCUUGGCUUCUGUGACAGCGAUGCCCGGUUCUCUUUCUGCCUCGCCACGGCUCCUUCUCUGUCUCUUGAACCACUUCCGUUUGUCUGGAUGCUCUGUCAGUCUGCCCAGCGCUCUGUCCUCUGUCCAGGACUUUCUUUCUUUUCCCAAGCUGUACCUGCUGGGGAGCCUCAGGGUUCUUCUUGUUCCUCAGCAUGCCGGCUCCCCAGGUACCCCGUGUGUUCCCCUAGCUUCAGGCCUGGAUGUCUCGCUGCUGCUUGGCCUUUUCCCAUGGGUGCCCGCUAGGCGUCUCGCACUUAACCCCUCAGAGUGGAAUGUUUGCUUGUCUUCGCACCCGCGUCUGUGCCCCUUCGCAGCCUCGCUCUCACUCAGUCUCCUUCCAAAGCCCCAUCCCUCCCCAUCCCUAGCCCUUCACACUGUAGCUUAACCCAGAAACUCUGCCAUCAUUCUUAUUUCUCCCCUUGCCCCAUUUUAACAUCCCGGUUGUUGGCAAGUAAGUUCUGUCCUUUCACCUCCAGAACAAUCCAGUCGUGGGUCUGACUCCACUGCCACCAUCCUGGUCUAAGCCCCCGUGCCCUCCCUCUAGGACUACUGCUGUAGCUUCCUAGCCCUGUUUUUCCCCUCGUCCUCCAGUCCACUCCCUGCCGUGGAGCCUGACUGAUCUUGGAAAAGCAUAUCAGAUCAUUUCAUUCCCUGCUUUAGUAUUUUCCUUUGCCCUCAGAGCGGAAUCCCAGCUCAUCACGAUGGCAUCCGCGCGCUGUGUGUCGUUGCUUUCUGCCUGCCUCUCCAGCCUUGUCUUGGGUCCUCUCCGCCUCACUCAUCGUGCUGGGGGGCACACUGGCCUCCCUUCUGUGCUCAGACUGCUCAAGGUCUGCCUCCCCUCAGGGCCUUUGCAUGUGCUUGUGCCUCUGUCUGGAAGAUGCAUCCAGCUGAUUCCUGGUCACCACUGGGUCUCUUUUCCAAUGUCACCUUCUUCCUGACCAUCCUAUUUUACAUAUGCCUUCAGUUAUGCCAGCACAUUGGCCUUGUUCCUUGUUUUAUCUGUGUAUGGGCCGCCCCCGCCAGAGGCACCCUCGCACACACUCAAACCCCACUCACUCUCUGUGUCUCUAAUGAAAGUUGCAUAAAGGCAGGGACCUUCUCCUUGCUGUCCCCUGCUGUCUCUGUACGUAGCUGGCAAGGCGUCUGGAACUGCGCAGGGCCUCAGACGUUGGCCGAAAGCAUGAUUAGCGUUCGUUGUUGCCUCCUCUCUCUCUCUCAGUAAUCCUGCGCACUGGGUGCAGUGGGAUGAAGUCUGCUUGCUUUCUCCCUGUCCAGUGUGAAUGUCGGGGAUCUCCGCCUUAGCCGAGUGAGAGCACACCUCCGAGCUGCUGACAGACGUGAUGUUUUACCGGCUGCUGUCGGUGGCCCGAAGACAGAGGACCGGCCGAGGAUGGCAGAACUGGUCGUCGGGGAGGAGCAGCGCGUCGGCUGCCGAGGCGCAUUCUGUCGCCCUGCCGGCCCAGGCGCAGGUGGUCAUCUGUGGUGGUGGAAUCAUGGGCACAUCCGUGGCCUAUCACCUGUCCAAGAUGGGGUGGAAGGAUAUUGUCCUUUUGGAGCAGGGCAGGCUGGCUGCUGGCUCUACGAGGUUCUGUGCCGGCAUCCUGAGCACCGCCAGGCACUUGACCAUUGAGCAGAAGAUGGCGGACUAUUCCAACAAACUCUACCACCAGUUAGAGCAAGAAACGGGGAUCCAGACAGGGAGGAUGCCUGCUACGUGUGGGACAGGCAGGAGCGAGUCCCUUUUGGUUGGAUUUAAUUUGAUGGCAACGGGUCCUCGAAUCGGGUGGUAAGCAGAGUUUGAGUCAGAAGACGGUCAACCUAAGGGGCCCCGAGCUGGAACUGCUGACUGCCGGUCCCCUGGUUCGGUCCCUAGUGCUUUGCCGAGCCCUGCAUUGCUUACCUGCUUGGAUGCUAGAGGAACCCGGGCCAUAGGCCUCUUUUCUGUAAGGUAAGUUCGUCUCACUUGGGUACUGGGGCACCAUCUGGAACCCGUUUUUGGGCCUGGUGUCUCCUCGAUGCUUGCAGGGCCGUGAGGAAGUCAGGCAAGGGAGGGUCCGGGGAUUGCCCUCAGUCUGUCACCCCCAUUGCAGUCCAGCCGUGGGGCCGUGAAAAGGGGACUAGGGGUCCCCCGAGGGGAGAAUUCUGUUACCGGCAGGACGCGUAGGUGCCAGUCAGUGGACUGCUUUUGAGACGUUAAAUGAGGACACGUGACCUACGUACAACCUGGAUUUCCUGACACUACACGCUAAUCCUCAGAAGAUAGUGCAUUUUCGU